UGCAGAUUUCAUUCCAAAUUGCUGUACAGUCAGAUAAUGUAAUUACAGAGCUAAAUAAAAACAAAGGGGCAGGGGAAUUGGUGGGGACGUUGGGCAAGGGAAGAUGUUUUCCGAAUGAGCUUAGAGGGGAUGUGGGAAGUCAAGAAGCAGAAACCACUCACGAGGCUUUCAGCUCCAGCGUUGGCAUGAAGCGCAGCCAGAAGGAAUCCCCCAUGGAGCAGACUAAAGCAAAAUUCAGUGUUUAACAAAUAAUCCAAAUAAUCUUUGUGGAGGGUUUGGGGGAAAACGCCAUUUUGACACAAAGUUUGCAGGAUGGAGGAGGAGGAGCAUGGAGAUACUCUCAACAUCCCAUUGUCUUUGGAAACCUGCCCACUAACCUCCAAAAGCCAAAGCCUGGAGGUAAAAGAUGCUCACCCCGCUAUGUCCCAUGUGUCUUAGGGCACAUUUCAAGCGAGCCCUGGGUGCUUAGAAGCAUUUUCAGCACUGGAGAACCCAUCACAGCUGAUCGUGACUUGGCCAACCAUUUAUUACCUUCUCACUUCGAGCCUGACCCUGUUUUGCUUCCAUUUGAUCCAUUUGUAACAUGGAAAACCCUCCUGCCUCCCAUGUCCACGAACCGUGUGGAUAAAUCAUACCUUCACCUUCUUUUGGGGACUGUCUUCCCUCUGGAAGGACAAUGUUUGAGCUCUCCUAGCUUCCUCAGCCCAAACCUCUCAUUUCUUCUGGUCAUGGAGACAGAAUAGAUGCAGAAAAGGAGUGGCAAAUGUGAAACUCAUAGAGAUGCCAACCAGAUCUCCUCUUUCAUGUGUGUUUUUACAAUGGCUUUGCAGUCUGUUUUGACUGCCAGUGAACACAGACAUCGCUCUGGGUAGAGAGGUUGGGGGUCCACAGGGGAGAGUUCCCAGUUCUAGGUCAGAUCUCAGGGUUCAAAGCCUCCCUCCUGAGGGAUUUGCCUGUUGGUUGGUCUUGGCUUUGUGAAACCAGCCCUUAAAACCCACCUGUGUGCCUGCUGCCGAUUUCGUGCUGUUUGCACACAACAAACACCAUCAUUGAUGGCCCCUCCUGCCUGAGGGUCAGCCCCUUCUCCUCCGAUGGGUGAGGUCUAACGCAGAAAUUCUACAAGUCAAGACAUGCUUGAUUAGCAAAUUUCUAUGGAUUAGGUCUAGGAAAUCUAAAGCAUGUUUUGUUCCUGGAAGAGUGAGAUACCCAUAGGUCACUCAGGCUGAAGUCCCUCCUGCUGAGGUGACCUAUUUGGGACAGAUGAUUUAGCCAUGCCAGUCUUGCCACUCCAAUAGCAUCCAAUGGGCUCUUCUGUCCUGACUGGUACCAGAUUUUGACUUUGUCUCUCAAAACUUCCUCAUGACCAAAGCCUGAAAACCCACAUCCUUAUUUUGAAAUCCCUCAGACCUUCCAUGGGUAAGAACAACUGACAGGCUCAUUGCAGCCAGGAGCUCUCCACAUUUCAGUAUGUGCUUUCCAAUAAACGUCAAUCACUUUUCUCUUCUUAUUCCAGUUUCUGGUGUCUGCAGAGAGGACAAUGGUGCCCACAUCUCUGUGGGAUUCCCAGCCUGAAAAGGUUGAAUUCUUCCUGGGACAUCAGCAUCUGAACAGCACUGGGCUUGCCAGAGCUCUGGUUGCUUUUGUCCCCUCCUUUGCCGGGAUCAUGCGCGCCCUGAGUGCUCAAAAAGAACUGCACUGGUACGAGGUGCAGCACAGACUGGGGAUCUCUGCAACAGACUGAAUGCACUGAAAGCCAACUAUGGACAACAGGAGCUCCAAAAACGUCCAGAUUCAGGGAUCCAUAGUACGGCUCUGCUGAAUUCUGCACUUCAGGCAGACACACAAUCCCUUCGUUAAGGAGUAUUCCCUGCAAAAUCCCAGCAUCCAGUGUGGAGUGUGGAAUA